rnacentral:rRNA from 1 species
GACGAACGCUGGCGGCGUGCUUAACACAUGCAAGUCGAACGGUGAAGCGCCUUCCUUUUUGGUGGGUGUGGAUGAGUGGCGAGCGGGUGAGUAACACGUGAGUAACCUGCCCCCUUCUUCUGGAUAACCGCAUGAAAGUGUGGCUAAUACGGGAUAUUCUGGGUCUGUCGCAUGAUGGGUCUGGGAAAGAUAUUGUUUCGGUGGGGGAUGGGCUCGCGGCCUAUCAGCUUGUUGGUGGGGUGAUGGCCUACCAAGGCGGUGACGGGUAGCCGGCCUGAAAGGGUGGACGGUCACACUGGGACUGAGACACGGCCCAGACUCCUACGGGAGGCAGCAGUGGGGAAUAUUGCACAAUGGGCGCAAGCCUGAUGCAGCGACGCCGCGUGAGGGAUGGAGGCCUUCGGGUUGUGAACCUCUUUCGCCAGUGAAGCAGGCCUGCCUCGUUUGUGGGUGGGUUGACGGUAGCUGGAUAAGAAGCGCCGGCUAACUACGUG